GACAGAGGGUGCAAACGUUGUUCGGAUUUACUGGGCGUAAAGCGCGUGUAGGCGGCUUUGCAAGUCGGAUGUGAAAUCCCACGGCUCAACCGUGGAAGUGCAUCCGAAACUGCGUCGCUGGAGUCUCGGAGAGGAAGGUGGAAUGCUUGGUGUAGAGGUGAAAUUCGUAGAUAUCAAGCAGAACACCUGCGGCGAAGGCGGCCUUCUGGACGAUGACUGACGCUGAGACGCGAAAGCGUGGGGAGCAAACAGG
rnacentral:rRNA from 1 species